rnacentral:rRNA from 1 species
AGAGUUUGAUCCUGGCUCAGGACGAACGCUGGCGGCGUGCCUAACACAUGCAAGUCGAGCGGAGACAGUGAGUAGCUUGCUAUGAGCUGUUUUAGCGGCGGACGGGUGAGUAACGCGUGAGCAACCUUUCCCAGACAGGGGAAUAACACACCGAAAGGUGUACUAAUACCGCAUAAGACCACGGGAUCACAUGGUUCUGGGGUAAAAGAAUUAUCGGUUUGGGGUGGGCUCGCGUCCGAUUAGGUAGUUGGUGAGGUAACGGCCCACCAAGCCGACGAUCGGUAGCCGACCUGAGAGGGUGAUCGGCCACAUUGGGACUGAGACACGGCCCAAACUCCUACGGGAGGCAGCAGUGGGGAAUAUUGCACAAUGGGGGAAACCCUGAUGCAGCGACGCCGCGUGAGCGAAGAAGUAUUUCGGUAUGUAAAGCUCUAUCAGCAGGGAAGAAAAUGACGGUACCUGACUAAGAAGCCCCGGCUAACUACGUGCCAGCAGCCGCGGUAAUACGUAGGGGGCAAGCGUUGUCCGGAAUAAUUGGGCGUAAAGGGCGCGUAGGCGGCUCGGUAAGUCUGGAGUGAAAGUCCUGCUUUUAAGGUGGGAAUUGCUUUGGAUACUGUCGGGCUUGAGUGCAGGAGAGGUUAGUGGAAUUCCCAGUGUAGCGGUGAAAUGCGUAGAGAUUGGGAGGAACACCAGUGGCGAAGGCGACUAACUGGACUGUAACUGACGCUGAGGCGCGAAAGUGUGGGGAGCAAACAGGAUUAGAUACCCUGGUAGUCCACACU